rnacentral:tRNA from 1 species
AAGAUUAUAAAGUGUUAAGUUUCUAACUUAACUUAAGCGAUUAAAAUCGUUAAGUCUUU